rnacentral:rRNA from 1 species
GGUUGCGAUCAUACCAGCACUAAUGCACCGGAUCCCAUCAGAACUCCGCAGUUAAGCGUGCUUGAGCGAGAGUAGUACUAGGAUGGGUGACCCCUGGGAAGUCCUCGUGUUGCAACCC